rnacentral:rRNA from 1 species
GAUGAACGCUGGCGGCGUGCCUAAUACAUGCAAGUCGAGCGAACAGACGCGGAUCUUGCUCCUCUCAUGUCUGCGGCGGACGUGUGUGUAACACGUGGAUCCCCCCCCUAUAUGUCUGGGAUAACUUCGGGACACCGGAGCUAAUCCCGUAUAACAUCUUGAACCGUAUGGUUCAACAGUGAAUGACGGCCUUGCUGUCACUUCUAGAUGCAUCCGGGCGGCAUUGGCUAGUUGGUAAGGUAACGGCUUACCAAGGCUACGAUGCGUAGCCGACCUGAGAGGGUGAUCGGCCACACUGGAGGUGGGACACGGUCAAGACUCCUGAGGGAGGCAGCAGUAGGGUAUCGUCGGCAGUGGGCGAGAGCAUGACGGAGCAAGGCCAAGUGAGUGAAGAAGGUGUUGGGAUCGUAAAAAUCUGUUAUGAGGGAAAAACAGAUGUGUAAGUAACUGUGGACGUCGUGACGGUACCUAGUCAGAAAGCCACGGCUAACUACGUG